GGCGGACGGGUGAGUAACGCUUGGGAAUAUGCCUAUGGUGGGGGACAACAGUUGGAAACGACUGCUAAUACCGCAUGAUGUCUACGGACCAAAGUGGGGGACCUUCGGGCCUCACGCCAUAAGAUUAGCCCAAGUGGGAUUAGCUAGUUGGUGAGGUAAUGGCUCACCAAGGCGACGAUCCCUAGCUGGUUUGAGAGGAUGAUCAGCCACACUGGGACUGAGACACGGCCCAGACUCCUACGGGAGGCAGCAGUGGGAAUAUUGCACAAUGGGCGCAAGCCUGAUGCAGCCAUGCCGCGUGUGUGAAGAAGGCCUUCGGGUUGUAAAGCACUUUCAGUAAGGAGGAAAGGUUAAGUGUUAAUAGCACUUAGCUGUGACGUUACUUACAGAAGAAGCACCGGCUAACUCCGUGCCAGCAGCCGCGGUAAUACGGAGGGUGCGAGCGUUAAUCGGAAUUACUGGGCGUAAAGCGUAC
rnacentral:rRNA from 1 species